CACAAUUUCUUAUUUCUUUUCCUUUACUUCUCCUCUUAUUACUCUUUUCUUUACUUCUUCUUUACUUCUCCCCUAUUACUCUUUCUUUACUUCUCCCCCUUUUUGUUAUCAUCAAAUAGGUGCAUGAGAAAAGACACAAUAAAUAACAAACAUUCAAACUUCAUUGAUCAAAAUAGGAACAUUUUAGUACAUUCAUGCCAAAAACAAAAGCAAAUACAAUGUUCCUUAAUCAAAGUUUAAAGAUACAUG
rnacentral:lncRNA from 1 species